CCUACGGGAGGCAGCAGUGGGGAAUAUUGGGCAAUGGGCGCAAGCCUGACCCAGCAACGCCGCGUGAAGGAAGAAGGCUUUCGGGUUGUAAACUUCUGUUAUUAAGGACGAAACAAAUGACGGUACCCAAUGAAUAAGCCACGGCUAACUACGUGCCAGCCGCCGCGGGAAUACGUGGGGGGCAAGCGUUAUCCGGAGUUACUGGGUGUAAAGGGCGUGUAGGCGGGACUGCAAGUCAGAUGUGAACACCCUGGGCUCAACCCAUGGACUGCAUUUGAAACUGGAGUUCUUGAGUGGAGGAGAGGUAAGCGGAAUUCCGGGUGUAGCGGUGAAAUGCGUAGAUAUAGGGAGGAACACCAGAGGCGAAGGCGACUUGCUGGACAGUAACUGACGCUGAGGCGCGAAAGCGUGGGGAGCAAACAGGAUUAGAUACCCUUGUAGUC
rnacentral:rRNA from 1 species